UACGUAGGUGGCAAGCGUUGUCCGGAAUUAUUGGGCGUAAAGCGCGCGCAGGCGGUCCUUUAAGUCUGAUGUGAAAGCCCACGGCUCAACCGUGGAGGGUCAUUGGAAACUGGGGGACUUGAGUGCAGGAGAGAAGAGUGGAACUCCACGUGUAGCGGUGAAAUGCGUAGAGAUGUGGAGGAACACCAGUGGCGAAGGCGACUCUUUGGUCUGUAACUGACGCUGAGGCGCGAAAGCGUGGGGAGCAAACAGG
rnacentral:rRNA from 1 species